rnacentral:ncRNA from 2 species
UACGUGCUCCGGGGUCGGUGAAAGUCCGAACCGGCGGUGAUAGUCCGCGACCCGCGUCCAAGGCCACAAGCCGAGGAAGCGGUUGAGCCGGUGGAAUUCCGGUACCGACAGUUAAAGUCUGGAUGGGAGAAGCACGAA